AGGGCCCAAAGGCAGCAGCGCCAGCGAGGCAG
rnacentral:SRP_RNA from 1 species